rnacentral:rRNA from 1 species
GAUGAACGCUGGCGGCGUGCCUAAUACAUGCAAGUCGAGCGAACGGACGAGAAGCUUGCUUCUCUGAUGUUAGCGGCGGACGGGUGAGUAACACGUGGAUAACCUACCUAUAAGACUGGGAUAACUUCGGGAAACCGGCGCUAAUACCGGAUGAUAUUUUGAACCGCAUGGUUCAAAAGUGAAAGACGGUCUUUCUGUCACUUAUAGAUGGAUCCGCGCUGCAUGAGCUAGUUGGUAAGGUAACGGCUUACCAAGGCAACGAUGCAUACCCGACCUGAGAGGGACAACGGGCAGCUGGGAAGUGAGACUGGGUACCGACUCCUACGGUAGGCAGCAGUAGGGAAUCCUACGCGAUGGGGGAAAGGCUGACGGAGCAAAGUCGCGGGAGUGAUGAAGGUGUUAGGACGGUAAAACGCUGUUAGUAGGGAAGAACAUAUGUGUAAGUACCUGUGCACAUCUUGACGGUACCUAAUCAGAAAGCCACGGCUAACUACGUG